CCGACGGGUUCGGGCGACGCCAUACUCCGAACCUGGUCAGGGCCGGGAGGCAGCAGCCAUAAGGAGCCCCUGGCGGGCGCCCGUUCCCGUCUGGCG
rnacentral:SRP_RNA from 1 species